CUCUUCCAUGUAAAGAACUAUGCUAAAAUUGUGAAAGCGGGGUUAUCUUAGCUUUGGCAAUAAUGCUAGCAUGGUAUAAGGUGGAAGGAGAGUAUUUGCACUGAUCCGCAAAUGAGAUGAGGUCGGACCUCUUUCUUAAUGUCCAGUGUUCUCUGUCUCAGGGUCCAGUGCCACAUGC
ensembl:snoRNA small nucleolar RNA SNORA81